rnacentral:lncRNA from 1 species
CUCUAAUAUCCUUUUUAGAGGUAUACAAUAUACGACCCAAUCGAUUCAUCUUUCGCCACAAGUUACAAGUUCUCGUCUCUCACGACCCUCAGUCCUUAUGGUUUACUAUUCUAGGGUCUCCUAGGUCUAUCUAAACUAUUUCUACGCUCUGAUACCACCCUAUUUGUCACGCCCUGAGACCCACCACUUUGGUCGGAUUCAGGACCGCCGACAAACCGCCGAACGGACAUAAUUUUUCCUAUCCGCCCAAGGCAUCAUAAUCUGUACAAUUUAAGUGGUUCCAAACAGGAACAAAAUUCAUACACCAAUUGCAUAAGGAAGGCAUCAAACAUGAUUACUAAGCUAUUACAAGCAUUCGCCACAUUUCACAUUCAUUUACAUUCUUUUUGUUUCCAAAUACAAUCAACUUUAUUAUAACUCUGUUUCAUUCUUUUCUUUCUAUACCCUAAGCUACGUUGACCCAGGGUACAUCUAU